rnacentral:rRNA from 1 species
CGAACGCUGGCGGCAUGCCUAACACAUGCAAGUCGAACGAGGUCCGGAGCUUGCUCCGGGUGCCUAGUGGCGGACGGGUGAGUAACGCGUGGGAACCUGCCCUAGAGUGGGGAACAACCUUUGGAAACGAAGGCUAAUACCGCAUACGCUCUUUGGAGGAAAGGCUUCGGCCGCUCUUGGAUGGUCCCGCGUUAGAUUAGCUUGUUGGUGGGGUAACGGCCUACCAAGGCGACGAUCUAUAGCUGGUCUGAGAGGAUGAUCAGCCACACUGGGACUGAGACACGGCCCAG